CUUUUUCUCUUAACUCUGCUACUCAUUGUUCAAGAAAUAACUUUUUUUCUGGCUCUCUUUGCUGUAUAAAAAUUAGAAAUCUUAGAAGCUGAAACCAAUUCUCAAGUCAGAAACAUCAUAGCUGUUGGUCUUCAUGAUUUCUUCAUGCAGGCAAUCUCUGUGUUUUCCACAUCUGAGUUUUAUCAAAGAAGGACGGUGGUCUACCUUGUUCAUCACUGUCUCUUCAGGACCUUGCUAAAUACUUGACUGGUUGGACUAAAUAACUGUGGAAGAAAUUAGUGAAGGCUGCUCUUCACAACAAAAUCACUGACCUGCCAUAAAAAGAGAAAGAGGGCAACUUAGAGAAGAGGCUCUUCAUGACUGAACUUGAUGGUCCUGCAUUGUAUUACGCCCAGAAGAAUGCUGCGAUUAGACAGGGAAACGUCUGUGCUGCAUCUCAAGAUAUCACCAUCCCCAUCAUUAUCAUCACCAUAAUAGCUUACAUGUCUUGAGUGUUUACUCUGUUCCAGUGUUCCAGAUGAUAAAAUAAAGACUUGGUGAUUUGAAGUAACUCGCUCAAGUGCCCAGAGCUAGUUAAAUGGCAAAGUAAGGAUCCAAAUAUACAUGCCCAAUAUCUUAAA